AUGUUGUCUGGCCCUAAUUGUCAAGUGGUAUGUGCAUAGUAUAGUUGCCAUUAUGUUGGGUUAUAAUUGCCAUGUCGUGCACUACUAACUACUCCCUCCAUUCCAUAAUAUGAGGCACACACGUUUUCCUAGAACAUCGAUUUGAUUCAUUAAAUAUGUAUUUUUCUUAACAAAAAGUAUCAUGUCAUAUGAUACCUAGUUUUCAUGUUGUGUGUUUCUAAUUGCCAUGUUAUCUAGUCAUAGUUGUCAUGUCGUGCACAAUUAACUACCAUGUUGUGUACUAUCUAGUUGCCAUGUUGUGUGGUCCUAGUUGUGGUUUUGUCUGAUCAUAGUUGACAUGAUGUUGGGUCAAAGUUGUCAUGCUAUGCACUACUAACUAAUCAUGUCAUGGUAAGUAGGCGUUGAUAAACUAGGAAGUAGACACGUUAACUUGCCAAAUAUGCGUGGAUAAGCCGACAAGUAGGGACGGAUAUCUGCCAAGUGGGUGUUGUUAAAUCGACAAAUAGAAACAACUAAGCCGAAAAGUUGGCUUCAAUAAAUGAAGAAGUCGGUAAAUAGACAAAAAAAGCAUGUUGGUAUGAAUCAGGAUAUAUGUGAAAGCGGCAUUGUGAAUUAUUGAUGAAUGGAUUAAAGUCGAUCAAAAUUUUACCCACGGUAAAAAGUAAGUGCAAUUUUUGGAGAGAAAAAAGGCAAAAAAAAAACUAAAACAAGAUGGCUAGACUGGAUUGGGUUUGGGCUGCGCUAGCGUAUGUGUUUGGAUGGGCAACGUUGUGGGCUUUAGAGCAAGCCCAAUGUUGGUCAACAUCCGGUGCUAAGAAGGUGCCAAGAAGAGUUAGACCUGGGCCUAGCCAUUGGAGCAUGGAGGGGCUAAGAAUUUUUUCUUAGACUCGGUUCUUCUACUUUACUUGGGUCUAACAAAUGGUUGACUUCAUGGGACCCACCCUAGCGCUUCCGUCUCCCCCAGAGCGGCCACAGACACGCUCACCGGCGCUGCUUCUUGUGGAGCCCACCGUCGUCGCUCCUGUGUCCGGCCGCCGCGAGAGCCAUCGGGGGGAGACGA
rnacentral:lncRNA from 1 species